AGAGUUUGAUCCUGGCUCAGAAUCAACGCUGGCGGCGUGCCUCAGACAUGCAAGUCGAACGCGAAAGCGCCCUUCGGGGUGCAAGUAGAGUGGCGCACGGGUGAGUAACACGUAGGUAAUCUACCUUUGGAUGGGGAAUAACAACCGGAAACGGUUGCUAAUACCGCAUAAUGCAGCGGCACCUAAUGGUGACAGUUGUUAAAGCGGGGGAUCGAAAGACCUCGCGUCUGAAGAGGAGCCUGCGGCGGAUUAGCUAGUUGGUAAGGUAAUGGCUUACCAAGGCGAUGAUCCGUAACCGGCCUGAGAGGGCGGUCGGUCACACUGACACUGACAUACGGGUCAGACUCCUACGGGAGGCAGCAGUCGGGAAUUUUGGGCAAUGGGCGAAAGCCUGACCCAGCAACGCCGCGUGAAGGAUGAAAUCCCUCGGGAUGUAAACUUCGCAAGAACAGGAAGAAUAAGUAAGGGUUAAUAUCUCUUACGAUGACGGUACUGUUUGUAAGCUCCGGCUAACUCCGUGCCAGCAGCCGCGGUAAUACGGGGGGAGCAAGCGUUGUUCGGAUUUACUGGGCGUAAAGGGCGCGUAGGCGGCCACCGCAAGUCGAUUGUGAAAUCUCCGGGCUUAACCCGGAAAGGUCAACCGAUACUGCGGGGCUAGAGUGCAGAAGGGGCAACUGGAAUUCUCGGUGUAGCGGUGAAAUGCGUAGAUAUCGAGAGGAACACCUGCGGCGAAGGCGGGUUGCUGGGCUGACACUGACGCUGAAGUGCGAAAGCUAGGGGAGCGAACGGGAUUAGAUACCCCAGUAGUCC
rnacentral:rRNA from 1 species